rnacentral:piRNA from 1 species
UGGCACCUGAGAAUGAUAAACAGGAA